AUUGAACGCUGGCGGAAUGCUUACACAUGCAAGUCGAACGGCAGCACGGACUUCGGUCUGGUGGCGAGUGGCGAACGGGUGAGUAACAUAUCGGAACGUAUCCAAUAAUGGGGGAUAACGAGUCGAAAGAUUCGCUAAUACCGCAUACGCCCUACGGGGGAAAGCUGGGGACCUUCGGGCCUGGCGUUAAUGGAGCGGCCGAUAUCUGAUUAGCUAGUUGGUGAGGUAAAGGCUCACCAAGGCGACGAUCAGUAGCUGGUCUGAGAGGACGACCAGCGACACUGGAACUGAGACACGGUCCAGACUCCUACGGGAGGCAGCAGUGGGGAAUUUUGGACAAUGGGCGCAAGCCUGAUCGAGCAUUCCGCGUGAGUGAAGAAGGCCUUCGGGUUGUAAAGCUCUUUCGCAAGGGAAGAAGACUUAGCCACCAACAUUGGUUGAGGUUGACGGUACCUUGAUAAGAAGCACCGGCUAACUACGUGCCAGCCGCCGCGGUAA
rnacentral:rRNA from 1 species